UAACUGCUGACACAGAGGUGUUGGUGCGCGGUGCUGGGGGCAGCCAGUGCAGAGCAGGGCCUGGGCAACCGGGAUGUGACAGUGCCGGCAGGGGUGGAGGCUGCUGCCUGCAGGCAUGAGCAACCCCCCAGCCCCAAGUCACACAGUGGCAUCUCUUUUAGUGUGGUCUACACCAAGUGUUGGGUUUCCAGCGCCGUGCUUUGCUGGGGAGCUCUGUUUAUGCAGCCUCACCUAGGAUUUGUUCAGCUAUAUGGUAACACGUCUUUAAUUUUAUUUUUUUGGAUGGGCAGAAUUUGUUCUCAUGUUUUAUGGAAAUGUUUUUACCACUUCAGUAUUAUUAUGCAUUAGGAUCAGUGAUGUAUUUUCAUCCGCAUGUGGUGCCUGUAAUGAAUUCUGCUGCCAAAUUUGUGCUGUUUACCCAACGGGCAUGGAAAUCUGAGGGCUGUGGAUGCAGGCCUCAUUAGCAGCAAUGAUUUAAUUUCUUAAUCCAAUAUGAUGUCUUGAUACUGUGGUGCUAAGAGCAGUAGAAGUACUUGAUUAAACCAGGGAAGAGUAAUGGGAAGAAAUGAUCCUAGAGCGUGAUGCUUCUACCUUCCUCCUGCUGAUCCGAGACGAGAACGUUCCUGGGCACAAGCCCCGUGGGGAUGCGGGACAAGGCAAAGCAUCUGUGGCCAUUCCAGCAUUGGAAGGGGCUUCUUAUUUUGAUUGCUUUGUUGCCCAUUUUUUUACGUCUCCCUUUUCCCUCCGUCUUUUCCAGAGCAUAUUUGUAACCAUGGAGAUAGGAAAACAGGAGAGGCACCUCGCCGCGCGGAUGGGGCAUGGCAACAAAUUGGUUUAUGGAGGGGCUGAGAAACUGUGCGUCGGCCAGUGGAUAAACAGGCAUUUUAUAGCACAGAGAAAUGGACACAGGGUGAGGAGCAUGAGGGAUCUCAUCAGAUCCCAAAUCCACACUUAGGUUGGUAAGCUGGCGACAGUCACAGGGCUUCUGCCCACGGAUGCGAUAAAUGCAGGACCCAGCUCACACAACCAGGCACACGUUCACAUGUCUCUAUUAAACUGAAUUCAAAUUUUAAUUACA
ensembl:lncRNA